rnacentral:rRNA from 1 species
UACGGAGGGGGCUAGCGUUGUUCGGAAUCACUGGGCGUAAAGCGCACGUAGGCGGCUUUGUAAGUUAGAGGUGAAAGCCCGGAGCUCAACUCCGGAAUUGCCUUUAAGACUGCAUCGCUAGAAUUGUGGAGAGGUAAGUGGAAUUCCGAGUGUAGAGGUGAAAUUCGUAGAUAUUCGGAAGAACACCAGUGGCGAAGGCGACUUACUGGACACAUAUUGACGCUGAGGUGCGAAAGCGUGGGGAGCAAACAGG